UUCCAUUCAGACCCAGAAGUUUGGGCAUCUAAUUGAUCAUGUGAAUUCUAAUGAUCAAUCAGGUGGUUUUCCCAGGGUAAUUGUCUCUGAUAUGUCCUCCAUAGGAGGUCUAUAUUGAGCAGAUUCUUUUUGGUAUUGGGUGGUGGAACCGGAGCGUGCUCCAUCCACUCCAUGCAUUGACCUGGUAUUGCAGUGCUUCCAGGACCAGUGCAAAAAAA
rnacentral:snRNA from 1 species